UACAGAGGGGGCAAGCGUUGUUCGGAAUUACUGGGCGUAAAGGGCGCGUAGGCGGCCUUCUAAGUCGAACGUGAAAUCCCCGGGCUAAACCCGGGAACUGCGUCCGAUACUGGAAGGCUUGAAUCCGGGAGAGGGAUGCGGAAUUCCAGGUGUAGCGGUGAAAUGCGUAGAUAUCUGGAGGAACACCGGUGGCGAAGGCGGCAUCCUGGACCGGCAUUGACGCUGAGGCGCGAAAGCCAGGGGAGCAAACGGG
rnacentral:rRNA from 1 species